rnacentral:RNase_P_RNA from 1 species
UGGGGGCGACCUCUCGGAGCGGGCAACAGAGAACAGACCGCCGAUGGCCCUCCGGGGCACUGGCAAGGGUGAAACGGUGCUGUAAGAGCGCACCAGCGUCGGGGGCGACUCCGGCGGCUCGGCAACCCCCGUCGGGAGCAAGGCCGAAACGAGGACAGGGCUGCUCGUCCGCCCCACUCCGGUGGGACCCUCAGGUGGGCCGCACAGAUGGAUGGUCACCGAACCGGAUCCCCGCAAGGGCCCGGGGAACAGAACCCCGCCUACAGGCCGGCUCACCGU